GUUUCUGGUUGAUAUCGACAGGCUUGAACAAGGUUGUGCUCAAGUUGUCAACAAUGUUGUCACAGUAUUGUUACAACUGCACAACGCUGCAACAACAUUGUUAACAACUUGUUCUUAGGCUGCAGCACAACCUUGUUCAAGCCUGUCGAUAUCAACCUGGAAC